AUGUUGGUGGAAUAUGCAGGGCAUAACGGAGCAGCGGAGGUCGAGGCGGCGGCCUCGAGAGUUCGGCAACAUCGAUUGCGUUCACCUCGUGUCGCUUGGGCGGCGAGGUUGCUCUUGAUUUUGUCGGCGGCGUCUCAAGCGUCGCGUUUGGUGGAUUGCACACACCUUCACCUUGUGGGAGCGUCCCAGGUCUGCUCUUCUCAUAGCAGUCGUGGCUUCUUUUCUCCGGCAACGGUGGGUUCAUCUGUGUGUAUGGUGGUAGUGUGCUCCAAUGAUGGUUGUGGCAUCGUUGGAAGUGUGGUGUGGCCUUGUGGUGUGGCGUUUCGAGUUGGCUUGGCCAUGUGA
rnacentral:rRNA from 1 species